rnacentral:lncRNA from 1 species
AGCUUGGGAUUCAGGCUGCACAAUAACUACAUGUGGAUGAUUUUUCCAGCUUUGCUGAUUCACAGAAACUAAGCCAAGCCCAAGGAUGGAGGAACUUCUGCAGAACACAGUGUGAGCUCUGGCUGGAGACUUUCUGCAGUGUGAGCUUUGGUGUUGAAGUCUGAAGAGCUUUUAACCAAUGAAGGCAAACAUUGAUUAGAAGAGGUGCCAGGGAUGAGAUAACACCAGGAUUUGGUAUAAGCAGUUCAUCCUCCCCUGCGGCAGUCAGACCGAAUAUUUUGACUUGCUACAAUAAUUUCCUGUGGGCUGAUAACCACUGAUUCGAUAAAAAUGGUAGUAACAGGCUCCAUCAGGAGCUGUCCUGAAGGGCUGUUGAUUCAUUUAAUCCCACAAUAAAGAUUGAGUGAGCUGUUAUUUC